UGCAGACCGCUUUGUGGCGACUCGACGUAAGUUCACACAGGAAUGACACUUUCAUGAAUAAGACAGUGUGCUACUAUUCAACACAUUAUGGACCCCUCAUCAUGUCCUAACUUAACAAUUUGUUUCCUUUGAUUAUGUAAUACUCACAGUUGGAAAUGAACAGCUUGAAUGUAAUAUGCAGUACACUUAUUUGCAUUUCAUUUCCAAUCCCUGGAAAGCAAUUUAUUACUAUUAAAUUGUGGAGUUGAAAUUUUUUAACGAUGAAAAUCCAAAUAAUUACUAAUUGAAUGUGAUUCCCUCCUUUUGUGCAUCUCUCAUAUUAAAAAACAAGCUAACUUAAUGUUCUUUAAUAUGGAAUAGACAAUCAUUAUUUAUGCAGCCAUCGAUUUAUUUUAUUAUUCAUUUAAUCCUAUCUUUAGAUAUGUGUAUAUCCUUCUAAGGUACCUUGCAUGCUUCCGUUAACAGCUCAUGGAGGUGCUUGGCCUCAUUACUACUUUUUACAUUGUUGGAAUACUUCAAACACAGUAAAGGAAAUUACCUUCUCCAAAAUACAUGAUAUUUUAUCAGCAGAGUAAUCCAUUGUUACUUUUGCUUACCAGGACAUGGUUAUGAACAUUAUAAAGGGAACUUAAAGUAAAGAGUCUGAAAUACACAGGGAUAAUAGAACUUUUUGUAAAAUACUUUGAGGUCCUAAAUUUAAAAAGGUGGCUCUGUGGUUGGAUUCAAGUUGGACUCACUGGAGGAUGUGGUGGAGAGAUGUACUGUGAGGAAGGUGGAGGCUAUUCUAGAGAACAUGGAUCACCCACUUCACAACACCUUGGUGGACCGAAAGGCCUAUGGUGGUGGACGGCUCCUCUCUCUUCGCUGCAGGAAAAAAAGAUUCAGAAGAUCUUUUGUACCCACAGCCAUCAGACUCUACAAUUUGAAUAGUAGAUGACUUUUUGAGACAUGACAAAUGAGACUACAGAAAAUUGAAUUUCCCUUAGGGGAUAAAGUUAUUUGUAUCUUAAAUUAAUUUUUAAUUAACUAUUAUGAACACUUUGGAUUUUUAGUCCUUAUUAAUUUGUUUGAAGGGUUAUCGAACAAGACAAUGGUCACUUCCAGCUUUUGACUCAACUUGACUUUUGAUAGAUGUAUAAUUGAGGACAGCCACUUGGUGGGUUGAGUAAAAGUACAUUAUGAUGCCAUUAGCUUUGGGUGGAUGUUGGUUUAUUUUAUUUCUUUAAUAAAAAGGGAUUAAUGUUUGUUUCCAUUGUGUCUUACAGGUAUCCUGUCCAGUCUCCCCACUCUCCCCUAUCAUUUUGGUCACUCUGUCUUUCCUGUCUCCUCUACCACUCUGUCUGAUUGAAAAGCACUCUGUCUUGUGUCCCCCUUUCUUCUAUCCCUCUGGCUAAGUUUUGGACGCUCUGACUUUCCUGUCUCCUCUACCGCUCUGUCUGAUUGAAAAGCAACUCUGUCUUUCUAUCCCCCUUCUAUCCCACUCUGACUCAUUGCAGAACUUUUCAGAACUUUGCAGAACUUUUCAGAACUUUGCAGAACUUUUCAGAACUUUUGCAGAACUUUUCAGAACUUUGCAGAACUUUUCAGAACUUUGCAGAACAUUUGAGAACCUAUUUUGAGAACCUAUUUUGAGAACCUAUUUUGAGAAACCUUUUGAAACAAGCAACCUUUCUUUGAGUCAAAACUUUUGAAACGGAAGUACAUUUAAUACAACUGCUAUUUUGAAAAAUCCCUAAUUUUGCACAAGUCUGAUUGUUGUUCUAGGUCCUCCUCUCCUGUCUGUGAAUCCAGAGUUUCGCCAGAAGACGUGUCGUCAGCUACACCACAUCUGCAUACCUGACUUUGAAAGAACAUAAAAACACGUUUUAUAUAGAAUAUUUGAGUUGCAUAGUAUUUCAAGCACAAAGUUCUAAGAUUAAAAAAUUGUUGAUUUGUGUUUCUUCUUAAAACAUUUACAUACUCUUGCCUAGGAUUUCCUUAGAAAACAUUUCAUAAACUAUUGUUGG